CUUUGAUUAUGGUUGAAAUUCAACAAAAAAAAUGUGUGAAAAAACAGUCGCCAUGUUUGCAAUCGUUUGUGUUUGAGUUGUUUUUGGUUCCGCGUUGGACUUAAUUUCAAAUAAAUCUCCUGAAAUACAUGAUAAUAUUUACUGUAACUACGAGAGUUGUGAACCAACUAUGGGUUAUCUGGAGUCGGAAGCAGCAGCAGUCCAGCCGAAAACAGAAAUUCGACUCAACGGAAUCAUAGCUUUCUAUGCCCCCAGCCGCCAUCACGUCUUAGUAAUGUUCCGGAACUCCCUACGUUUGCUGAAUAGGAAGGUUCCGAAAUUAUGCUAGGAAUCACCGGCACUAGAAUCACAGCAGAGCGGGAAGCUGAACAUUCCAGGAAAGGCAGCAGCACAUCAUCCGUAACUGUGGUAGCAAUGGCCGACGCAAUCAAUCCCCCGGCCGGCUAAACUUUCUUCCGACAAUGUAACUUAGUAAUGCCAGUAGACCUGGCACUUUUAUACCAGCAUCAAGCAGAUACCAGUGAAAGCAAACUUAAAGUUGAUGUUAAAUAUAAAAAAAUCUGUUGAAAAUCUGAUUGAUUAAUUUCUUUAAUUCUGUUUCCUGUGUUCAAGUCGAUUUAUAUUUAAAAAUGAAUAUUUUCUGCUAAUUUCGUCCAAUUUUUACUUUUUCGAUCAUGCUUGAAAAAUAACCAUU